rnacentral:rRNA from 1 species
CAGUCGCCGCGGGAAAACGUAGGUGGCAAGCGUUGUCCGGAAUUAUUGGGCGUAAAGGGCUCGCAGGCGGUUUCUUAAGUCUGAUGUGAAAGCCCCCGGCUCAACCGGGGAGGGUCAUUGGAAACUGGGAAACUUGAGUGCAGAAGAGGAGAGUGGAAUUCCACGUGUAGCGGUGAAAUGCGUAGAGAUGUGGAGGAACACCAGUGGCGAAGGCGACUCUCUGGUCUGUAACUGACGCUGAGGAGCGAAAGCGUGGGGAGCGAACAGGAUUAGAUACCCCUGUAGUCCCUGUCUCUUAUAC